AUGGACACAAGCAGAAGAAACAACAUUAAAAACAACAACCCUAUGGACUUUGGAUUUUUCACAGAUGAAAAUUUGUUUGAUUUUUUCUGCCAAAACAAGACAAAGAUGUCUACAAUAGAAGAGCCGUUAAUGUUUCUCCGACAUCUCAAGGACAACAGACUCAUCACAGAUGAGCUUUAUCAAAACCUUGAGAACACUGGUGGCGAUGAUGGUGUGUAUUGUGCAUUGGAUUACAUUGAAAAACGUGGAAAGAAGAAUGUUAGAAAGUUCUGGAAAUGUGUGUCCCAGGAGCAUAUAUUAGAGCGUUACCCUCAACUCUCUGAAAUCACUGCAGCUUUGAUGAACUCUCUUAAGAGUCAGCCAAAUAAAGAAAAACGAGAAAGAGAUGAGGAUCAAGGCAAAGGAAAAGAGAGAGAGGUUAAAAAGAGAAGGACAGAGAGCAACUCUGUGAGUGACCAAGCUGGACCAUCAUCACAAAGCAUUAGCAGCCAGAGGACGACAGAUAAACACGUGAAGAGAGGUGAGUUCUGAGUCAGAUAAUUGAUUGACCGGCCUGUCUUUUUAUCUGUCUGUCUAAAGAAUUACAAUAAGUUCUGAAACCAUUCUGUUUUGUAUUUCAAAAAAUUCUCCAGAUCUUCAGAGCUCUCCAGACUCCAGCACAGAAUUACCGUUUUCUCGUCCGUCCUUGCAUAGCAAAGCAGGUUGCUAUUAAUUUUUGGACAAACUCCUUUUGGUGUAAUAAAACAUUUGCUGGACACUUUAUGUGCA
ensembl:lncRNA